CCACGUACACACGUGAGCACAGACGAAACGUUCCGUGGAACUCUUUUGUUCCACUUUCGAGUGUAUCAAGUUAUAUUGUGUACCGGCAAGCAUCGUGCCGGAUGUAGCAAUGAGCGGCGCGGCGAGAGUCAACGAGCCAUUUCCGGGGCCUCUCGCUGCAGAAUAUUACAUUGAUAACAGAAAUUGCCUUCCAAGUGUGCCCGGCUUGUCCAAGACGUUGUCCUCGAGGAGACGACGCGCGACAGACAGAAACGCGAGUUCGAUAUUCGCGUCUCGACCGAUCUUUCAUCGAUACGUGUUUCGAAACUAGUAGUAGCCUACUCUACGAGGCUACAGCUUGUGUGUUUUAUAGCAAUCUUCUUUGCCGUCGAAGAUGUUAAUUAACCAUCAUCGAUAAGACAUAGAUUAGACGAGCCUAGGAUCGGAUAUGCGUCACGCAAAAACGAGACUCGUGCUUUGAAAACGUCGAUGGCAUACGAUCAGCUACCGAUCAGCCAGGUAGCGUACGUAAGGAAAGAAGGAAGGAAGAAGAAGAAGAUGGAGAAAUCCAUCGAUCGAUCGAUACCAGCGUUGAUAAGACAUCGAAAUUGGUGAAAUUUAACUCCAUUCAUGCAAAUCCAUCGAUGAACAAGCAGCGCAUACAUAAUUACGGUAGAGCUCCGUGUACCUGAGCCCGUCGAGAGACGAGCAGUCUGUCUAAUCCAAGUUCGUACAAUAGCAGCUCACCGAUUCUCCAUCUGCCUGUAACUUUUCGUUCGUGAAAUGGGAAGCCGCGUUCGAAUAAGCGAGUUCCAACCAGCAAGAGUUGACGUCAAAAUCGAACAUUAACCGAAAUCUUGCAAUAAAUCAACUUCCAUCUACCAUGACACUGCCUCGUUUACGAUCUUCGUUUAGGUAAAUGGACGUUUGCUGUAGCUGAUUUUAACUGGAGACCCGAAUCUUCCCAAGUCACGAAAGAAUCUCGAAGAUCUCAAGGUCCCGAGACUCGCGACGACCAAAAGAUAAACAGCUCGACGUACGUACGUCUCCGAGACCCAAGUGUACGCGGUUCCGAGAAACGAAUCCGUCGAUUGAAUCUCGCGAAUUCAUCGAGCACCAUGUCGCCCGUCCCUUCCACCGAUAUUCAAUGGAAUCAUUCAUGCGAGGACGCGUAUACGCUGGCUCUUCGUCUGUCUUUGGAGAUCCAAGAGCGGGGUAAAAAGCGCUCGAGUAUAUCCGGCAGGGAGCGGCGAUCGGACAACGCCACUCCACCUUAUCGAGGAUUCGAGGAACUUUUUAUCACUGGCCCGCCGCCAGGACGCUGCCGUUGCGCCUUCUUUCGUUUCAAACGUUGACGAAUAUCGCUGCGUAGGAUCGCGAUAGAGCUUUUUACAGAGAAAUAGAAAAUUCGAUAGGAAGACAGGAAAGAAUGGCGAUCGUUGGUGACAUUGGAUAUAAAUUGCAGUAAUUUAUUGAUAUUAAAAACAGUAAUGUUUGGUACGUAGCUCUUUAACUGCAACACUGACGCACGAAAUAUUCGGAACUAAUUUCUACGAUAGUUUGGAAUAUCCGACUUGAAAAUAAUGAUUUUUCCCUUUUAAUAUCCUACCUCAAGGUUUUUUAACGUAGAAUUUUUAGCGUUCCGAAGGAUCGAUAUAUGUAAAAAGGAAAAGAAAUACUCGGAUACGUAUAAUAUUUAUGCAAUUUCAUAUUUUUAUCAAAAAAGCGGAACUUAAAUAGAGAUUUGUGUUACCCAUUGAAUAUUACGAUUUAAGCGUCUCUGUAUCUUUCCCAAGGAGCAAAACGUGCCACGAUUAUUCACCAAUAAUGUCGUUACUUGAUCUAAAGCCUCUUGAAGAUCGUAGAUUGGCCGUUGAUUUGUGUUUGCUACAUGAAAUAAUUAAUGUUCGUACAAACAGUUCGCCUACUCUUGCACUGAUCGAUUUUAAUGCACCACUUGAAUCUAUAAGAAAACCGCUGCUAUUUCGAUACUAUACUUGUCCAAGUAUUUCCAUUUAGAUCCUCUAAAUCGUAUUUGCCCUCUGGAUCUCCUCGUCCUUCCUCUAACCGCGUAGAUCUUUUCUUCCAUGCUGCUUCUUUCAAGAGAGCAGUCCACCAGGCAGGUUAUCUUUAUCUUAAAUUUACGGUGAAAAUUCGGCUCAAGCUCUUUCGUUUAUUAUACUUUGCUCUAAUCUUCCUCUAAACACCUGUAUCCGGAAACUAUCAGGUUGUCCGAAAUGUUUUCUUCGUUUUAUAGGGAAAUGAUGGACGCACGAUGUUUGCUGUUUUAUAUUAGUUUAUUGAAUUACGCACGAACGUAAUAAUAGAAAUAGAACGAAAUGGAUCACACCUAAUUCGAUAAAAUAAUAUAAAACAGAUUGUAAUUGUUGUUCAUUUAUAUAUCGCCUUACGAAACGAAAGAAACUUCUCGGACAACCUAAUGCUUCUUGUAAAUGCACGUAUUUUAAUAUGCUCGCUCCAUAUACGAUAAAAUGAAUAAAUAUUUUAUACUUGAUAUACUUUUUUAUUUCUUCACAUAUUCUACGCAUCCUAUAAAUCUUCGCGCUUUUAAAUUUCCCAUAAAUUAUAGUUGCUGUUACAAUUACAAGUAUCCAUUGAUAUACAACAGGAAAAACGAAACAUUUUAUAGCAAUCACUCUGACUAGCUUGAUCUAGCGUUGACAGAUAAAGCAAACCAUUCCUUCGUUUACUAUACAACAAGCUGCGCUAUUUAGAAGGUAACGAAGAAUUUAAUUUCAAAGUCAGAAAUCUAGAAACUCCAAGCUCUCUCUCUCUCUUCCUCUCCCUCUCUUUCUAAAAAUCAUAGGAAAAAUUCAACAUUGUGGCGCAAUUCCCUCGAACUCUGUUCGAUCAUUAUGAUAAUAAUGAUAAUAAUUUAACACGUCCGACUCAAGGUUCAGCACGUUCCUCGAUCAAGAAAAAUAGCGAUGUUUAACGAUUUCACGGUUGGAGUCCCGCGAGCGAUUCGCCACCAAACGAGUGUACGGAAAGUUGGCUGACGUCGUUUCGAUCUGCUCUAGCGGCCAGCCGAACGACUUCGCGGCUAUUAACCGCACGCCGCACGUAAACCGGCAACCAUUCGACGUUGAUAGCGGCGCGAUUUGUUUAUGGAGCGAAAAGCGGUUUCGCAAACGCAACGCGAGUUGCGACACGGAACCGGGAAACUAAUCUUUCCAGCGGCGAACGUCGAAGAAACGCGAUCUUAGAAACGCGGUUUACGACCGCUGCUGGGUACUUACGCGGCUAAGUUGUACUUGGAUACGAGUCAGGUGGUUUCUUCAUGUGUAAGUGUUAUGUUUUUCUUUUUUUUUCACCUUUUAACACGCGCUGACUGCAAUGUUUGCCCUCUUAACGCACGACGGUGGCUCGAGAAAAACGAGAUAAAUUAACGUAAGAUUAGCAAAUUUUCGACAACGAGACCGACGGUAUACAAUGUCGGGGAAGAAGCACGAGGCAGUAGCUGUGUGUAGUAUCAAGAAAAUUGGAAACAGCGAAACCAUAACACCGUUCCUUACGAAAAGAGAAUUAGGAAGGAGAUGCCGGUGCAAAGUGUCGCUGCGUACAAAAUAUUGCACUUGUCACGCUAUAUUAGAAAUUCCUUAUCAGUCGGCAGAAAUAAUAAUAAUAAUAAUAAUAAAAUUCGUGUAAUCUUUCUACGUAAUCUCAAGCUUGGAAGAAGGGUCGUAAAAGUAGAUACGAAGCCAUAAAUUUAACAGCCGAUGAAAAUUAUGUAAACGUUGAAAAAUGUCGUGCGCGAUAACGCUUCGAGAAACUGCUGGUUCGUAACAUAAAUUUGCCUUGUUUUUAUCUUUCCUCGCGAAUGGAUAAAACAGGACAACUAUACAUAUGUUACCUAAUAUAAUUGCACGCGAUUAUUCUUCGCACAGCUCACAGAGAGAUAAGCAAAGAAAUCGGACGAAUGGGAUCCAGCUGUUAUUAUCUGACAUUCGGUCGACGUAAGAAGGAGCGACGAAGCUCGUGCAAAGCCUAGAAGUCCUCGAUAACUCGUCCCGAGGCAGAACCAUCCAACGCGUAGUGCAACGCGCAUUCGACAAAAUCGAAAUAAUCGUUGCUCGAUCGACGUUGAUCUCAUUAUACGACGAUAUCGUGGGUGUGAACGUCGUUGCGGCCGAACGACGUACGAAAAAAGAUGAUUAACGAUUACAAAAAAGCAGCGAUCAAGCACCGUGCAAGUUUCUCGAAUCCAGCCGAUUUCUCGAUCUCCGCAAACUUUGUCACCGAUUGUCCAAAAGAUUCUCCUUCUGACAGAAUGGCGCAACAUCUCGCAACGACGAUCGACGUCUAAUAAAAAGAGAAUCGUUAACGGAGCGUCGGUGACCGAGCAGCGUGGACAGGAGAACGGCGGAUCUCGAUGAAGGAAGAAAAGGGGAGGUCCGGGCCGCGUCCCUAAACGCUUAUUAUGCGGCAUUACUGGCAGCCCCCUGCCUAUAUGUAUAAUACUAAGUCACGCGAGCAUUCACCGUUCCGAGGAACCUCGUGUCCAGGAGCGGAGCAAGUUUUUUUGCGGGUUCCGCCCGUAAUUGCGGACACGCAGGAUAUCCCCGGGAUCCUCGGCCUCCCCGAGCAACCCGAACACCACAAGAACAGGCGUUCGAUGCCUCGUCGGUUAUGAAACGGUUGCAUUACGGCAACUGUCCAUGUACGUCGCGUCCUUGCUCGUUUACACGUUCUUCGCGUACUGGAAUUUCAUUGCACGAGCAGUUCGCAGCGUUACAGGGCGAAACUAUACUUUUUGAUAUUUUUAAAAUUUUAACACCGGACCGUCUGUCUGCGUGAUCGACGCUUGUACAAUUUCAUUCAUUUUUUUUUAGUCUCUGUUUCGUCAAGACGAUUCGACGGUUCGUGUUGUGAUAAAAAGAGGUGACGAAGGUUGGAAAAACUCGUUUCCCCGUGCCUUUUUGUAGAUAAGAGUAAGCGCGGUUUGCAAUGGGACCAACAGACCGGAUAGCGAAAACGUUCGACCGCUUAUAGAAAGUUUUUAUCGACAUACUGUGUGUAUGUAGAUUGUACGUGAAUGUAUUCUGUCGUGUAAAACACUUUGAAAUUUCUUAGCACUGUAACGAGAUGCGAGAGGUCACGGGAUACUUACGUCUAGCAUAGGCUUCACAGAGAUCAGCGAAGCGUUCCAACAGUCGGUCGUUGCAUCAAAUUCGAUAUCUCGUCCGAAAUAUGGAAUAAAAUGCAGAAGGGUGUAAAAGAAUGCAAAUAAAACGCACGCGAAUUGAAUGGCUGAAUAUAACGUUGAAAUAUAGAACGUUGAACAGUCUGAAUUUUCAAUUCUACAGAAGAAAAAAAGAAAAAACUUUCCAAGUCUUGAAUACCAAAUACAACGAAGCUAUUUAAAUUUCAAAUAUUACAAAAGGUAAGGAGAUGCUGCUGAAAGGUAAAGUGCCGCGAGUGCAAGUCGCGAAAUUUCUAUAUCUUUUAGACAGCUCGAUAAACAAAGAUUCCCGAGCCUCGAAGCCCACAUUCUUCUUCUUUUUCUCUUCUUUUUUUUUCCUUUCUUUCAAGAUAAGAACCUCGGAUAAAUAUUGAAAGAACGAUACCGCGGAUAUUCCUUAUCGAACGGUUUCUUGUCAAAGAAUCGCGCACGAAGGAUUUCGGCGCCUGCGCACACAGGCGGUCGCGAAGGUUUCGAAAGAACGUGGCCGCGUUAUUUGAACGAGGCGAUACACGUAUCGAUGUACAAACCGCGGUUAGUGCCGGCUGAAACGCGAUAAGACAACCUGAAAUGCCGCACGCUCCUCGUCAACCGGCUCGCUGAUCCUUUCACCGGCCACGAGCGGAAUACCGAGAUACGCUUCCACCUAUAAAUCACCGGUAUCGUCGUUACCGAUCUAAAAUUCUAUGGAGAACCAGCAACAAUGGACGAACGGCAGCCGGACCACGGCCCGCUCGCGAUACGUUUCGCGCGAGUACGCUUGCUCGAAAUUUGUCCGAACCUGGAUCGGUUGAAAGGAAAGACCCUUAAGCCCAGUUCGUGCCAACCUUACGUGGCAAACGAUAA